rnacentral:rRNA from 1 species
GACGAACGCUGGCGGCGUGCUUAACACAUGCAAGUCGAACGGAAAGGCCCUGCUUUUGUGGGGUGCUCGAGUGGCGAACGGGUGAGUAACACGUGAGUAACCUGCCCUUGACUUUGGGAUAACUUCAGGAAACUGGGGCUAAUACCGGAUAGGAGCCCCUGCUGCAUGGUGGGGGUGGGAAAGUUUCGGCGGGUGGGGAUGGACGGGCGGCUUAUCAGCUUGUUGGUGGGGGAGUGGCUUACCAAGGCUUUGACGGGUAGCCGGCAUGAGAGGGUGACCGGCCACAUUGGUACUGCGAUACGGCGCAGAGUCGUACGGGGGGCAGAAGUGGGGAAUCUUGCACAAUGGGAGGAAGCCUGAUGAAGCGACGCUGCGUGCGGGAUGACGGCCUUCGGGUUGUAAACCGCUUUCGCCUGUGACGAAGCGUGAGUGACGGUAAUGGGUAAAGAAGCACCGGCUAACUACGUG